UUGAUCCUGCCGGACCCUAUUGCUAUCGGGGUAAGACUAAGCCAUGCGAGUUGUGCGCUCCCCAGCCAUGUCGGGAGAGCAGCAAACGGCUCAGUAACACGUAGUUAAUCUGCCCUCGGGACGGAAAUAACUCUGGGAAACUGGAGCUAAUGCCCGAUAGGUGGAAACGCCUGGAAUGGUCUUCCACCCAAAAGUUACUAGGAACAUGCUUCUAGCAACGCCCAAGGAUGAGACUGCGUCUGAUCAGGCAGUUGGUGAGGUAAUGGCUCACCAAACCUAUAACCAGUACGGGCCCUGAGAGGGGAAGCCCGGAGAUGGGAACUGAGAUAAGGUCCCAGGUCCUACGGGGCGCAGCAGGCGCGAAAACUCCACAAUGCGCGAAAGCGUGAUGGGGUUACCCCGAGUGCCGUCCGUAAGGAUGGCUUUUCCUUAAUGUAAGGAGUUGGGGGAAUAAAGGGGGGGAAAGACUGGUGUCAGCCGCCGCGGUAAUACCAGCCCCCUGAGUGAUAGGGACGAUUAUUUAGCCUAAAGCGUUCGUAGCCGGUCAAGUAAGUCUUUCGUUAAAUCUGACGGCUUAACCGUCAGACCGCGGAAGAUACUGCUAGACUUGAGGGCGGGAGAGGUUGACGGUAUUCCUGGGGUAGGGGUGAAAUCCUAUAAUCCUAGGAGGACCACCAGUGGCGAAGGCGGUCAACCAGAACGCGCCUGACGGUGAUGGACGAAAGCUGGGGGAGCGAACCGGAUUAGACACCCGGGUAGUCCCAGCUGUAAACGUUGCAGGCUAGGUGUUGGGGCAACUACGAGUUGCUUCAGUGCCGCAGAGAAGUUGUUAAGCCUGCCGCUUGGGAAGUACGGCCGCAAGGCUGAAACUUAAAGGAAUUGGCGGGGGAGCACCACAAGGGGUGAAGCCUGCGGUUCAAUUGGAUUCAACGCCGG
rnacentral:rRNA from 1 species